UUUGAAACUCUUUUUAACCGUGUUCGUCUGAGUCUUAAAAUAAUAAUCGUUAAAACUUUCAACAACGGAUCUCUUGGUUCUGGCAUCGAUGAAGAACGCAGCGAAAUGCGAUAAGUAAUGCGAAUUGCAGAAUUUCAGUGA
rnacentral:rRNA from 1 species